rnacentral:rRNA from 1 species
GACGAACGCUGGCGGCGUGCUUAACACAUGCAAGUCGAGCGGUAAGGCCCUUUCGGGGGUACACGAGCGGCGAACGGGUGAGUAACACGUGGGUGACCUGCCCUCAGCUCUGGGAUAAGCCUGGGAAACCGGGUCUAAUACUGGAUAUGACUCCAUGACGCAUGUUGUGGGGUGGAAAGCCUUGUGCGGCUGAGGAUGGGCCCGCGGCCUAUCAGCUUGUUGGUGGGGUGAUGGCCUACCAAGGCGACGGCGGGUAGCCGGCCUGAGAGGGCGACCGGCCACACUGGGACUGAGACACGGCCCAGACUCCUACGGGAGGCAGCAGUGGGGAAUCUUGCGCAAUGGGCGAAAGCCUGACGCAGCGACGCCGCGUGAGGGAUGACGGCCU